rnacentral:rRNA from 1 species
UACAUGGGGUGCAAACGUUGCUCGGAAUUAUUGGGCGGAAAGCGCGCGUAGGCGGUUACUCAAGUCGGAUGUGAAAGCCCUCGGCUUAACUGAGGAAGUGCACCCGAAACUGAGUAGCUAGAGUACUAAAGAGGGUCGCGGAAUUCCCGGUGUAGAGGUGAAAUUCGUAGAUAUCGGGAGGAACACCGGUGGCGAAGGCGGCGAUCUGGGAAGAUACUGACGCUGAGGUGCGAAAGCGUGGGGAGCAAACAGG